rnacentral:rRNA from 1 species
AUUGAACGCUGGCGGCAUGCCUAACACAUGCAAGUCGGGCGAGCGGCGGGGGGGUGAGGAAUGUAUGGGGAUCUGCCUGAAGUCGGGGGAUACCUACUGGAAACGGUACUUAAUACCGCACACCAGCAGAUGAACGCAUAUGGGAUUAGCUCGUCGGUUAGGUAAAGGCUUACCUAGGCGACGAUCCCUAGCUGGUCUGAGAGGAUGAUGAGCCACAUUGGAACUGAGACACGUCCCAGACUCCUAAGGGAGGCAGCAGUGGGGAAUAUUGCGCAAUGGGCGAAAGCCUGAAGCAGCCAUGCCGCGUGUGUGAAGAAGGCCUUCGGGUUGUAAAGUACUGUCAGUCGGGAGGCGUUACCUGCAGAAGAAGCACCGGCUAACUCCGUGCCAGCAGCCGCGGUAAUUC